rnacentral:rRNA from 1 species
UACGGAGGGUGCAAGCGUUAUCCGGAUUCACUGGGUUUAAAGGGUGCGUAGGAGGGCAGGUAAGUCAGUGGUGAAAUCCCCCGAGCUUAACUUGGGAACUGCCGUUGAUACUAUCUGUCUUGAAUACCGUGGAGGUGAGCGGAAUAUGUCAUGUAGCGGUGAAAUGCUUAGAUAUGACAUAGAACACCAAUUGCGAAGGCAGCUCGCUACACGAAUAUUGACUCUGAGGCACGAAAGCGUGGGGAUCAAACAGG